ensembl:lncRNA
CUUCUGUACAGCAAAGUGACUCAGUUGUACACAUAUAGACCUCCUUUUUUUAAAAUAUUUUUUCCGUUAUGGUUUAUCGAAGUGAAAGUCACUCAGUCGUAUCCGACUGUUUGCGACCCCAUGGACUACACAGUCCAUGGAAUUCUCCAGGCCAGAAUACUGGAGCAGGUAGCCUUUCCCUUCUCCAGGGGAUCUUCCCAACCCAGGGAUCCAACCCAGUUCUCCUGCAUUGCAGGCGGAUUCUUUACCAACUGAGCUAUCAGGGAAGCCCAUGGUUUAUCAAAGGAGAGUGAAAAUAGUUCCCUGUGCUACACAAUAGGACCUUGUUGUUUAUCCAUCUUAUAUAUAAUAGUUUACAUCUGCUAAUCCCACAUAUCUAGUCCUUCCCUCCCCUGACUCCCACCCCUUUGGCAACCAGAAGUCUGUGAGUCUGUUUCCAUUUCAUAGAUAGAUUCUUUUGUGCAGUAUUUUAGAUUCUACAUGUAAGUGCUAUCAUAUGGUAUUUGUCUCUUUCUGACCUACUUCACUGAGUGUGAUAAUCUCUAGUUGCCUCCAUAUUGCUGCAAAUGGCAUUAUUUUUUUUUAAUAACUGAGUAGCAUUCCAUCAUGUAUAUGUAUUAUGUCUUCUUUAUCCAUUUAUCUAUCGCUGGACAUUUGUUUCUAUGUUUUGGCUAUUGUGAAUAGCACUGCUAUGAACAUAGGUGUGCAUGGGUCUUUUUGAAUUAUAGUUUUGUCUGGGCAUAAACCCAGGAGUGGGAUCGCUGGAUCAUAUGGCAAUUCUAUUUUCAGUUUUCUUAGGAAUCUCCACACUGUUGCCCAUAGCAGCUACACCAACUUAUAUUCCCACCAAGAGUGUAGGAGGAUUCCCUUUUCUCCACACCUUCUCCAGAAGCAUUUGCUAUUCGUAGACUUUUGAUUUAUUUUUAUAUUUUUCAAUAAUUUUAUUUAUGUCUUUAAUGGCCGCGCUGGGUCUUCAUUGCUCCAUGGGCUUUUCCCCAGUUGCAGCAAGCAGGGGCUACCCUCCAGCUGUGGUGCGAGGGCCUCUCAUUGCAGUGGCUUCUCUUCUGGAGCAUGGGCUCCAGCGCACAGGAGGGCUUCAGUAGUUGCCGUUCCCAGACUCUAAAGCACAGGCUCAAUGGCUGUGGUGCGUGGGCUUAGCUGCUCUGUGGCACGUGGGAUCUUCCCAAAUCAGGGAUCGAACCCGUGUCUCCAGCAUUGGCAGGUGAAUUCUUUGCCACUGAGCCACGAGGGAAACC